CCUACGGGAGGCAGCAGGGAGGAAUAUUGGUCAAUGGACGAGAGUCUGAACCAGCCAAGUAGCGUGAAGGAUGACUGCCCUAUGGGUUGUAAACUUCUUUUAUAUGGGAAUAAAAUGUUCCACGUGUGGGCUUUUGUAUGUACCAUAUGAAUAAGGAUCGGCUAACUCCGUGCCAGCAGCCGCGGUAAUACGGAGGAUCCGAGCGUUAUCCGGAUUUAUUGGGUUUAAAGGGUGCGUAGGUGGGUUGUUAAGUCAGUUGUGAAAGUUUGCGGCUCAACCGUAAAAUUGCAGUUGAAACUGGCAGUCUUGAGUACAGUAGAGGUGGGCGGAAUGCGUGGUGUAGCGGUGAAAUGCUUAGAUAUCACGAAGAACUCCGAUUGCGAAGGCAGCUCACUGGACUGCAACUGACGCUGAGGCUCGAAAGUGUGGGUAUCAAACAGGAUUAGAUACCCUUGUAGUC
rnacentral:rRNA from 1 species